rnacentral:rRNA from 1 species
UACAGGGGGGGCAAGCGUUGUUCGGAAUUACUGGGCGUAAAGGGCUCGUAGGCGGCCAACUAAGUCCGACGUGAAAUCCCAAAGCUUAACUUUGGAACUGCGUCUGAUACUGGAUGGCUUGAAUUCGGGAGAGGGAUGCAGAAUUCCAGGUGUAGCGGUGAAAUGCGUAGAUAUCAGGAGGAACACCGAUGGCGAAGGCAGGUCUCUGGGCCACUACUGACGCUGAGAAGCGAAAGCAUGGGGAGCGAACAGG